rnacentral:rRNA from 1 species
GACGUAGGAUGCAAGCGUUGUCCGGAUUUAUUGGGCGUAAAGAGUUCGUAGGCGGUUUAUUAAGUCUGGUGUCAAAGCCCGGGGCUCAACCUCGGUUCGGCGCCGGAUACUGGUAGACUAGAGUACGGUAGAGGUAAAGGGAAUUCCUGGUGUAGCGGUGAAAUGCGUAGAUAUCAGGAGGAACACCGGUGGCGAAAGCGCUUUACUGGGCCGAAACUGACGCUGAGGAACGAGAGCCGGGGAGCAAAUGGG